rnacentral:tRNA from 1 species
GGCCCGUUGGUGAAGCGAUUAACACAUAUGCCUUUCACGCAUACAUGGCGGGUUUGACUCCCGUACGGGUCACCA